ensembl:snoRNA
GAUGGUCCUAAUCGAAGAUGCAGCUGCUUCUACAUAACUGCUCUGGUCAAAAAGGAGUCCAAAGUGACAGUUUUCCUUGAUGAUCACUGUUCUGUUUGCUGUAACUGAUCUACAGCAUUUCAGGAAAAAGACAGUU